UUUUCCACGUUUUCUUCUUCCUCCUUCCCUGUUAUUUCCUCCACUCAAACCCCUCAUCGUCCCUCACUAAAGGAAUUUGUACUCUGCCUACAAAAUUUUGGAAGACAAAUUCAAAUUUGUGGGUGGAAUUCACCUUCCCCCCUCCCCCACAAAAAAAAAGACAUUUUGUAGGGUUAUAAUUUGUUUCAAAAUUCUCAAUAGUCCAAAGACUUGUGCCUACAAAAAUUUGUGUUUUUACUCGACAAAAAAUUUGAUGGGCAAGAUAUAUCGUUUGCCUACAGAAAUAUUUUACAUGUUUGUAGACUAAUAAUUAAUGGAAAAUUUUCGAUUUAAUUUUUAUUUUUAGUACCUUACAAAAUGUAUAUUUGAAGUGAAAAGAUAAUUUCCAUUUUUUUCCUUUCCUUUUUUUUCCCCUUUCUUGUUUUUUUUUCUCCUAUUUUCCUUUUACUUUUUCUUUCUCCCUCCACAUUUUCUUUCUUCUUCUCCCUUCAACUUUCUCUACUCCGACGCGCCACAAGAUUAUUGUCUCACUACCUUCAAUCAGCAAUCAUCCGUCAAUCCCAGUAACCUAAAGAUCCAAGUUAGUGCCAGAGACAACUUAGAGGUAUCAUUAUUGGUUUUUAUUUGUUGGGUUGUUAUCGAUUUUGUUGGGAAAUAUUGUGAAAUGCAAAUUAGGUUAUUUGAUUGUUAUAAAUUCAUUUAUUAGGUUUCUAUCAAUUCAUUUAUUGGUUGCAGUGGAAUAUCUAAGAUCUACAAUAAAGUGAAGGUUCAAACUCCAUUGAAAAUGUUGUGGGUUCUGGUGGGUAAAUUGUUGAAUUUGUUCGUUUGGAUCUUGAGCGUUCUCUUACUUUGACGUUUCUUUACAUUUUAUAGGAAAAGUGGUUACAAAUAUGCUAUCUAGUUCGACUCUAGGAUAAUGAUAAAUUCCUAGGGCUAUCUUUUCUCAUUUCAUUUUCUUUUUGGGUUUAUCAAUUAUGAUUUUUGUAAUGAGGUAAUGAUUUGUAUUAUAUGUGAAGAUUUUAUUUUUACUGUAAUUUUCAGUACGAUGGAUGACAUUUCACUAGAAUGUUAAUGAUUUCAACAUUGAUUUGUUUGAUCGGGUUUGUGUUGUAAAUCUCUAGAUAUAUGAAGAAGCAAAGAAGUUCUCGUAUCAAUCUAGUGUAAAGGUUGUGGUUGCUUAUGGUGGGGCACCAAUUUUCCAGUAGGUUCGAAAUUUUUUACAUCUGAAACUAAAAUUGUUAUGUUGUUUUGACAUUGGCUAUUAAUUUAUCUUAACGUCUUUUGGCUAAAUUCUGAUCAAUGUAUUUGUUGAUUGUAAUGUUAGAAUGGUUUAAGUAGAUUGUUAGAUUGUAAGGUGAUGAAAUUAGAAAGCAGGGACAUGAUGGCUCCAUGGGCUUCUUGACGAGUUUCCAUCCUUUCCUACUUGAUUGUCUUCUUGUUGACACGCCAAAAGUGCAGCCCAAAUCGAAUAGUCCAAAGAAUGAAGCCCAACUGGGCAAUUCAGGAUAAAGGCCCAAAUAGGGUUAUUAAUGAAUGCAGUGGAAGCCCACGAAUGCAGUAACACCAUCGCCCAAACUUGCAAGACGCCUAAGAUCUGAGCAAAUGAAGUGCCUUGCAGUCGCCUAGGGUUAUGACCCUGUUCUCGUCCAAACCUUCGAAUCGCCCAAGAUCUUAGCAAAUAUAAGAUGUUAUGAUUAUCCAAAAGUACAGUUAUCGAAGCAGUUAUUAAGUAAUUUUAUCACGUUCCACGAUUGAAGGAUGUUCAGUUGAAAACGGUUGAACGACAAAGAGUAGUGACAGCAGUUAGAGACGGCAGUUCCACGAUAAGUUCGCCAACAUGAAGAAAGUGGGUAGUUAUAAAGCAAUUAAGCGGUUUCUAAGUGGUUGAUCACGAAGAGAUCAUCAAAGGAAUAUAAAAGGAAGAAAAGACAUAGAGCGAAAGGUCCCCGAAUCAAACACUCUCAAACAGAGAAUAUAUAAUUUUAAUUUCUUAAUUUAGACUUAAACAUUUCUUUUUAGUACUCGUGUGCUUGCGCCACUUGGAGGCAUUCUGUUUAGUUCCAAUUGUAAAGUCAUCGCCAAUAAAACAUUCCUUUUUGGGACUUUGUCUCAAGAGGUUUGUUCCUUACAUAAUCGUCUGAUCCCUUUUUAAUUGUUAGCGACCACGCGCGCGAAACACUUCUAUAAUGGAAGUUUCUGUCUCCACUUUCUUGAGUCCUUAGGCAAUUGAGCACAUGUUUAAUUUGUAAGCCAAAGACACUUUUAUUACAUGCAGUUUUCGUCCUUUUUGUUGGUAAAA